UACGUAGGGGGCGAGCGUUGUCCGAAGUUACUGGGCGUAAAGCGUGCGCAGGCGGUUUUGUAAGUCUGUCGUGAAAUCCCCGGGCUCAACCUGGGAAUUGCGAUGGAGACUGCAAGGCUAGAAUCUGGCAGAGGGGGGUAGAAUUCCACGUGUAGCAGUGAAAUGCGUAGAGAUGUGGAGGAACACCGAUGGCGAAGGCAGCCCCCUGGGUCAAGAUUGACGCUCAUGCACGAAAGCGUGGGGAGCAAACAGG
rnacentral:rRNA from 1 species